rnacentral:lncRNA from 1 species
UUUUAUUAAGACAUAAGAGCAUGCAUAUUCACUACAUUAUUUUUAGAAGCAUUCUAUAUGAAAUCUAACGUUCUAACGGUCAAAACUUGAAAAAAAAACAUGUAAACGUUACCAGAAUAGUGCAGAACAUUUGUACGAUGACAAAUUUUGUAAAAAGCAGUCUGAACUCAGUAGAUCUAAAGAGGAAAUUUUAGAUUUUCUAUUGUGUUCAACUUGAAAAUGACUUAUGAAAGAGAAGGGAAGGAGUAAAUAUACCCAUGGGGAGUCACGGGUCAACUUGUGGCAGCUGCGGGUCUACCUAUGGCCACCCAGGGUGGUCCUCACCCCCUCAAACUAGAUCAAAAUUGAGUUAUAACGGAGUUCUCGGAAGCUG